ACCAGGAUGGCCGAGUGGUUAAGGCGUUGGACUUAAGAUCCAAUGGAUCAGUCAAUCAGGCCUCGUGGGUUCCAACCCCACUCCUGCUA